CCUACGGGAGGCAGCAGUGAGGAAUAUUGGUCAAUGGGCGAGAGCCUGAACCAGCCAAGUCGCGUGAGGGAGUACUGCCCUAUGGGUUGUAAACCUCUUUUGUCGGGGAGCAAAAGCCGGACGUGUCCGGCUGUGAGAGUACCCGAAGAAAAAGCAUCGGCUAACUCCGUGCCAGCAGCCGCGGUAAUACGGAGGAUGCGUGCGUUAUCCGGAUUUAUUGGGGUUAAAGGGGGCGCAGGCGGAUUUUUAAGUCAGCGGUCAAAUCGUGGGGCUCAACCCCAUCCAGCCGUUGAAACUGGGGAUCUAGAGUGUGCGAGAGGUAUGCGGAAUGCGUGGUGUAGCGGUGAAAUGCAUAGAUAUCACGCAGAACCCCGAUUGCGAAGGCAGCAUACCGGUGCACAACUGACGCUCAGGCACGAAAGCGUGGGUAUCGAACAGGAUUAGAUACCCUUGUAGUC
rnacentral:rRNA from 1 species